AUAUUGUUAAAUGUUAUACCAAAAUUUAAAAUAAAACAACGCAUUCGGUAAUGCUAAUAACCUGCCAACAACAACAACAACAACAACUCCAGCAACAACAACAACAACAACACAUGCGGUGGCUAACUACUUAUAUCCUCGACCACUUAGUGUCCUCAGCUGCCCCGCCAAAAAAAAAGGAUAUACACAUAUAUGCCUAAGCCAAAUCUAAGGAAGAAGAACUCAAUCUAAAAAAAGAGAAUAAUCUACGUAGCAGCGCCUCCUCUCGACAUGUAGAGGAAGAAAUCCGUUCCGAUUGAUUCCGGUUUUUUUUUUUUUAAGUUUUGGUUUAGUUUGGUUUUGUAGUUUGUGGGUGAAAGCAGUGGCUAAAACCAAAAACUACUCGACAAACAACAACAACAACACCAAACACCCAGCCCGGCAUCCAACAAACAUUCAUUACGACGGAUUAUUAUGGAUAUACAUAUGAAAAAAUUAACAAAACCACGGUGAGUUUGCUAACUAAACCCAAGAAAUUAUUAAGCAAUGGAAAUCUUAUAUGAUUGGUACUGCAACUUUACUUUCCUUACACUACUACUUACACAUUGCAACAGCAAAAAACAACACCAACAACAAAUACUAAAACAUGAACACAAAGAAAAGCAAUAAAAGACUUUAAAAAUCAA